rnacentral:rRNA from 1 species
UACGGAAGGGGCAAGCGUUGUCCGGAAUCAUUGGGCGUAAAGAGCUCGUAGGCGGUUUGUCGCGUCUGCUGUGAAAUCCCGAGGCUCAACCUCGGGUCUGCAGUGGGUACGGGCAGACUGGAGUGCGGUAGGGGAGAAUGGAAUUCCUGGUGUAGCGGUGAAAUGCGCAGAUAUCAGGAGGAACACCGAUGGCGAAGGCAGGUCUCUGGGCCACUACUGACGCUGAGAAGCGAAAGCAUGGGGAGCGAACAGG